rnacentral:rRNA from 1 species
CAGCCGUAAACUAUGCGCGUUAGGUGUAUCGGUGACCACGAGUUACCGAGGUGCCGAAGGGAAACCGUGAAACGUGCCGCCUGGGAAGUACGGUCGCAAGGCUGAAACUUAAAGGAAUUGGCGGGGGAGCACCACAACCGGUGGAGCCUGCGGUUUAAUUGGACUCAACGCCGGGAAGCUCACCGGAUAGGACAGCAGAAUGAUUGCCGGGCUGAAGACCCUGCAUGACUAGCUGAGAGGAGGUGCAUGGCGUCAGUGACU